rnacentral:tRNA from 1 species
GUCCUUGUGGCCUAAUGAAUAAGGUGUCGGAAUUCGGGUCCGAAGAUGGCAAGUUGGAAUCGUGCCAGGGACG